AUUGAACGCUGGCGGCAGGCCUAACACAUGCAAGUCGAGCGGAUGACGGGAGCUUGCUCCUUGAUUCAGCGGCGGACGGGUGAGUAAUGCCUAGGAAUCUGCCUGGUAGUGGGGGACAACGUUUCGAAAGGAACGCUAAUACCGCAUACGUCCUACGGGAGAAAGCAGGGGACCUUCGGGCCUGGCGCUAUCAGAUGAGCCUAGGUCGGAUUAGCUAGUUGGUGGGGUAAUGGCUCACAAAGGCGACGAUCCGUAACUGGUCUGAGAGGAUGAUCAGUCAAACUGGAACUGAGACACGGUCCAGACUCCUACGGGAGGCAGCAGUGGGGAAUAUUGGACAAUGGGCGAAAGCCUGAUCCAGCCAUGCCGCGUGUGUGAAGAAGGUCUUCGGAUUGUAAAGCACUUUAAGUUGGGAGGAAGGGCAGUAAGCUAAUACCUUGCUGUUUUGACGUUACCGACAGAAUAAGCACCGGCUAACUCUGUGCCAGCCGCCGCCGUAA
rnacentral:rRNA from 1 species